AUUGAACGCUGGCGGCAGGCAUAACACAUGCAAGUCGAGCGAGCGGCGGACGGGUGAGUAAUGUAUGGGGACUGCCCGAUAGAGGGGGAUAACUACUGGAAACGGUGGCUAAUACCACAUACUAUCGGAUAACCCAUAUGGGAUUAGCUAGUAGGUGGGGUAAAGGCUCACCUAGGCGACGAUCCCUAGCUGGUCUGAGAGGAUGACCAGCCACACUGGGACUGAGACACGGCCCAGACUCCUACGGAGGCAGCAGUGGGGAAUAUUGCACAAUGGGCGCAAGCCUGAUGCAGCCAUGCCGCGUGUAUGAAGAAGGCCUUAGGGUUGUAAAGUACUUUCGGUAGCGAGGCGUUACCUACAGAAGAAGCACCGGCUAACUCCGUGCCAGCAGCCGCGGUAAUAC
rnacentral:rRNA from 1 species